UACGAAGGGGGCGAGCGUUGUUCGGAAUCACUGGGCGUAAAGGGCGCGUAGGCGGGUGCUCAAGUCCGGGGUGAAAUCCUCCAGCUCAACUGGAGAACUGCCUCGGAUACUGGGUGCCUCGAGGGUGGUAGGGGUAUGCGGAACUAUCGGUGGAGCGGUGAAAUGCGUUGAUAUCGAUAGGAACUCCGGUGGCGAAGGCGGCAUACUGGACCACAUCUGACGCUGAGGCGCGAAAGCCAGGGGAGCAAACGGG
rnacentral:rRNA from 1 species